rnacentral:rRNA from 1 species
CCCUUAGAUGUUCUGGGCCGCACGCGUGCUACACUGAGUAAAUCAAUGGGUAAGGGAACACGAAAGUGCAACCUAAUCUUGAAAUUUGCUCGUGAUGGGGAUCGACGGUUGCAAUUUUCCGUCGUGAACGAGGAAUACCUUGUAGGCUCGUGUCAUCAUCACGCGCCGAAUACGUCCCUGCCCUUUGUACACACCGCCCGUCGCUCCUACCGAUUGAGUGAUCCGGUGAGGCUCUGGGACCUGGACGGAAAGAGCGUUUCGCUUGUUCUGUUUGGGAAACUUGGUCGAACCUUAUCAUUUAGAGGAAGGAGAAGUCGUAACA